CGCCCUAUCUGACUUUUCUGCUCGAUGUCAUCCAUACAAUUUACUUGCUGUGGCCCAAUCUACUAUGUUACACAAGGGUGCGGAACAGAAUCUGUCCUGGUAGGGAAGAACGACCCUUGUCAGGCCGUAUCUGUUUCUAUUUAUCACAUUCACCCGUUCUGGUCAGCGCACUUAGCUCACGUCUUCAACUUAUGCUGUCUACAGACUUUUCCUUCACAUAGACUUGUGCCAUUCGUCAACUUGUUUUUGGAUGGUACAUCAGCGUCAUCGAAUAUAUGUUCCAACUCCGCGGACAGUGUAGAGAAUUCAGUCGUCGCGCGCGGUCGGAAGUUUCGCUGGACACGAUAAUCGCGUGGAAACCCGCGUGCAUCAUGGAUGUCUCGAACACAUGGCGGUCACCGGAUGUCUCCACAUGGAACGCUACUGGCUCUCUUAUCAAAGGACCCCUUGUACAAGACAGACGACUUCACGGUCGUCCCGGCAGGGCCCAACGAUGGUCAACAGAUGGUACCCUAGUUUGUGAAGGUCAUCACCACCUACCAGGACAAACAGCGCCUGAAACUCCGUGCCAAACAACGACGGGGUGUAUGUGAGGGAGUCGAUUGAGAACAAUCCUCUCGAAGAAUACACUGCCAAGUAUGAGGAGAUCGUCGCUGUGCAUUUGUCACAAGAUAAGACACGUACUCCACUGGCCGGCUGACUCCCCUAGUGUACUAUAGACUCUAUUUGUCCACUUUCUACACUUAGGCCACCGAUCCGCGGAGCCUGGUAGAGGCUAGUAGCAGAGAUAGAGAGGGCCUGGAACGCCGUGAAACAGGCCAUGGGAUUUAAUGAUGUAUUACUUAUUCCACUACGAAAUGUCUUGCCUGGAUUGGUGAUUGGAGCAUAAAAUAAUUCAGUUGCUUGACGUGACAGACUGAAACAAGACUAUGGUGUGUGGUAAUAAUGAUAUUCCUAUCUCUUUUUUCAAGUACACCUGUGUUGUCAAAUGUGGGGUAACACAAUUGGGAAAGACCUUCGUCCGGUUCUCAGGAGGAAGGUUUUCCAAAAUUGCAUUUCUAUUUAAAUGUCUAAAUCUGAUUGCGGGAAAUAUUACUUUCUACAUACGCGUGUCCAGUGUCCAAGAAAGUACAACAUUGACUUCUUCAGUGUAGUGUGACGCUUUUCAUGAUGCUAUUAAUGUAGUGUAAUAGUAAUAUUGUCAAUAUGUUGACAUUCAUUGUAGCAUAUCAGUUGAAUACAAAACUAAAAACUUUGAUAGGA